CAACCUCAACUCAUAUGGGACUACCCCCUGAAUUUAAGCAUAUUAAUUAGGGGAGGAAAAGAAACUAACAAGGAUUUUCUUAGUAGCGGCGAGCGAAAAGAAAUCAGUUCAGCACUAAGUCACUUUGUCUAUAUGGCAAAUGUGAGAUGCAGUGUAUGGAGCGUCAAUAUUCUAGUAUGAGAAAUUAACGAUUUAAGUCCUUCUUAAAUGAGGCCAUUUACCCAUAGAGGGUGCCAGGCCCGUAUAACGUUAAUGAUUACUAGAUGAUGUUUCCAAAGAGUCGUGUUGCUUGAUAGUGCAGCACUAAGUGGGUGGUAAACUCCAUCUAAAACUAAAUAUAACCAUGAGACCGAUAGUAAACAAGUACCGUGAGGGAAAGUUGAAAAGAACUCUGAAUAGAGAGUUAAACAGUACGUGAAACUGCUUAGAGGUUAAGCCCGAUGAACCUGAAUAUCCGUUAUGGAAAAUUCAUCAUUAGAAUUGUAAUAUUUAAACAAUAUUAUGAUAAUAGUGUGCAUUUUUUCCAUAUAAGGACAUUGUAAUCUAUUAGCAUACCAAAUUUAUCAUAAAAUAUAACUUAUAGUUUAUUCAAAUUAAUUUGCUUGCAUUUUAACACAGAAUAAAUGUUAUUAAUUUGAUAAAGUGCUGAUAGAUUUAUAUGAAUACAGUGCGUUAAUUUUUCGGAAUUAUAUAAUGGCAUAAUUAUCAUUGAUUUUUGUGUUUAUUAUAUGCACUUGUAGGAUUAACAAUGCGAAAGAUUCAGGAUACCUUCGGGACCCGUCUUGAAACACGGACCAAGGAGUCUAACAUAUGUGCAAGUUAUUGGGAUAUAAACCUAAUAGCGUAAUUAACUUGACUAAUAAUGGGAUUAGUUUUUUAACUAUUUAUAGCUAAUUAACACAAUCCCGGGGCGUUCUAUAUAGUUAUGUAUAAUGAUAUUUAUAUUAUUUAUGCCUCUAACUGGAACGUACCUUGAGCAUAUAUGCUGUGACCCGAAAGAUGGUGAACUAUACUUGAUCAGGUUGAAGUCAGGGGAAACCCUGAUGGAAGACCGAAACAGUUCUGACGUGCAAAUCGAUUGUCAGAAUUGAGUAUAGGGGCGAAAGACCAAUCGAACCAUCUAGUAGCUGGUUCCUUCCGAAGUUUCCCUCAGGAUAGCUGGUGCAUUUUAAUAUUAUAUAAAAUAAUCUUAUCUGGUAAAGCGAAUGAUUAGAGGCCUUAGGGUCGAAACGAUCUUAACCUAUUCUCAAACUUUAAAUGGGUAAGAACCUUAACUUUCUUGAUAUGAAGUUCAAGGUUAUGAUAUAAUGUGCCCAGUGGGCCACUUUUGGUAAGCAGAACUGGCGCUGUGGGAUGAACCAAACGUAAUGUUACGGUGCCCAAAUUAACAACUCAUGCAGAUACCAUGAAAGGCGUUGGUUGCUUAAAACAGCAGGACGGUGAUCAUGGAAGUCGAAAUCCGCUAAGGAGUGUGUAACAACUCACCUGCCGAAGCAACUAGCCCUUAAAAUGGAUGGCGCUUAAGUUGUAUACCUAUACAUUACCGCUAAAGUAGAUGAUUUAUAUUACUUGUAAUAUAAAUUUUGAAACUUUAGUGAGUAGGAAGGUACAAUGGUAUGCGUAGAAGUGUUUGGCGUAAGCCUGCAUGGAGCUGCCAUUGGUACAGAUCUUGGUGGUAGUAGCAAAUAAUCGAAUGGGACCUUGGAGGACUGAAGUGGAGAAGGGUUUCGUGUGAACAGUGGUUGAUCACGAGUUAGUCGGUCCUAAGUUCAAGGCGAAAGCCGAAAAUUUUCAAGUAAAAUACAAAUGCCAAACAAAUAUAUAUAUUAUAUAAAAUCUAGCUAAAUUAAUAUACUUGAAUAAUUUUGAACGAAAGGGAAUACGGUUCCAAUUCCGUAACCUGUUGAGUAUCCGUUUGUUAUUAAAUAUGGGCCUCGUGCUCAUCCUGGCAACAGGAACGACCAUAAAGAAGCCGUCGAGAGAUAUCGGAAGAGUUUUCUUUUCUGUUUUAUAGCCGUACUACCAUGGAAGUCUUUCGCAGAGAGAUAUGGUAGAUGGGCUAGAAGAGCAUGACAUAUACUGUUGUGUCGAUAUUUUCUCCUCGGACCUUGAAAAUUUAUGGUGGGGACACGCAAACUUCUCAACAGGCCGUACCAAUAUCCGCAGCUGGUCUCCAAGGUGAAGAGUCUCUAGUCGAUAGAAUAAUGUAGGUAAGGGAAGUCGGCAAAUUAGAUCCGUAACUUCGGGAUAAGGAUUGGCUCUGAAGAUUGAGAUAGUCGGGCUUGAUUGGGAAACAAUAACAUGGUUUAUGUGCUCGUUCUGGGUAAAUAGAGUUUCUAGCAUUUAUGUUAGUUACUUGUUCCCCGGAUAGUUUAGUUACGUAGCCAAUUGUGGAACUUUCUUGCUAAAAUUUUUAAGAAUACUAAUUGGGUUAAACCAAUUAGUUCUUAUUAAUUAUAACGAUUAUCAAUUAACAAUCAAUUCAGAACUGGCACGGACUUGGGGAAUCCGACUGUCUAAUUAAAACAAAGCAUUGUGAUGGCCCUAGCGGGUGUUGACACAAUGUGAUUUCUGCCCAGUGCUCUGAAUGUCAAAGUGAAGAAAUUCAAGUAAGCGCGGGUCAACGGCGGGAGUAACUAUGACUCUCUUAAGGUAGCCAAAUGCCUCGUCAUCUAAUUAGUGACGCGCAUGAAUGGAUUAACGAGAUUCCUACUGUCCCUAUCUACUAUCUAGCGAAACCACAGCCAAGGGAACGGGCUUGGAAUAAUUAGCGGGGAAAGAAGACCCUUUUGAGCUUGACUCUAAUCUGGCAGUGUAAGGAGACAUAAGAGGUGUAGAAUAAGUGGGAGAUAUUAGACCUCGGUUUGGUAUCGCCAAUGAAAUACCACUACUCUUAUUGUUUCCUUACUUACUUGAUUAAAUGGAACGUGUAUCAUUUCCUAGCCAUUAUACGGAUAUAUUUAUUAUAUCUUAUGGUAUUGGGUUUUGAUGCAAGCUUCUUGAUCAAAGUAUCACGAGUUUGUUAUAUAAUCGCAAACAAAUUCUUUAAUAAAACGGUGCAUUUAUGUAUUUUUGAUUUGAAAAUUUGGUAUAACUCCAAUUACUCAGGUAUGAUCCAAUUCAAGGACAUUGCCAGGUAGGGAGUUUGACUGGGGCGGUACAUCUCUCAAAUAAUAACGGAGGUGUCCCAAGGCCAGCUCAGUGCGGACAGAAACCACACAUAGAGCAAAAGGGCAAAUGCUGACUUGAUCUCGGUGUUCAGUACACACAGGGACAGCAAAAGCUCGGCCUAUCGAUCCUUUUGGUUUAAAGAGUUUUUAACAAGAGGUGUCAGAAAAGUUACCAUAGGGAUAACUGGCUUGUGGCGGCCAAGCGUUCAUAGCGACGUCGCUUUUUGAUCCUUCGAUGUCGGCUCUUCCUAUCAUUGUGAAGCAAAAUUCACCAAGCGUUGGAUUGUUCACCCAUGCAAGGGAACGUGAGCUGGGUUUAGACCGUCGUGAGACAGGUUAGUUUUACCCUACUAAUGACAAAACGUUGUUGCGACAGCAUUCCUGCGUAGUACGAGAGGAACCGCAGGUACGGACCAAUGGCACAAUACUUGUUCGAGCGAACAGUGGUAUGACGCUACGUCCGUUGGAUUAUGCCUGAACGCCUCUAAGGUCGUAUCCGUGCUGGACUGCAAUGAUAAAUAAGGGGCAAUUUGCAUUGUAUGGCUUCUAAACCAUUUAAAGUUUAUAAUUUACUUUUUAAACGACAAUGGAUGUGAUGCCAAUGUAAUUUGUAACAUAGUAAAUUGGGAGGAUCUUUGAUCACCUGAUGCCGCGCUAGUUACAUAUAAAAGCAUUAUUUAAUACAAUGACAAAGCCUAGAAUCAAUUGUAAACGACUUUUGUAACAGGCAAGGUGUUGUAAGUGGUUGAGCAGCUGCCAUACUGCGAUCCACUGAAGCUUAUCCUUUGCUUGAUGAUUCGA